rnacentral:snRNA from 1 species
GUACAUAUGGCAGUACAUAUACUCAAUUGGAACGACACAGAGUAGAUUAGCAUGGCUCCU